AUGGUUUCUAGAACUAGUCUUUCACACCAUGUUCUGAUGAGCCUAGUGGUGCUGUCACUUCACCCUCCCCUUGGGCCUGGUCUUCAAUUUCCUGAUUGCUCUUCGACUACCUUCCUGGUUUCUCAGCCCGCUGAGGUUCCAGGCUGGAGAAAUCUCUUUCAGAGCGAUCCCCUUGGGCAGAAAGGGAGUUAAUUUGAAAACUCUGGUGAGUCUGAUGGGUUGUGAAAGUUCCACAUGAAACAUUUAUAAUGGCUCCUUUCAGGGUGGUGGGUUUGUGUGUGUGUGUGUGUGUGUGUGUGUGUGUGUGUGUGUGCCUGUGGACUUCAGUAGUCAUGAGCUUUGUGUAAUUAACUGGGUAGUAAGCAGAAUGCCCCCUUUCCAUCCAGACACUCAGGUUGUAUAGGACUUACAGCCACAGGAAGGGGGAAUGGCAAAGUUUAGAGAUCAGUUGGAGGGACAUUCCCUUCCCUAGGUCUGCCUGCAACUGGGUGGAGGGGUAGUUCUGUGUGAGCCUCAGGCCCCAAGUCUGACCAAUCCAC
rnacentral:lncRNA from 12 species